UACAUGUGGGGCAAGCGUUGUUCGGAAUUACUGGGCCUAAAGGGUGCGUAGGUGGCUUGGUAAGUCAGGGGUGAAAGUUUUCGGCCCAACCGGAAAAUGGCCUUUGAUACUGGCGAGCUCGAGUGCGUGAGGGGUAACCGGAACGAGCAGUGUAGCGGUGAAAUGCGUAGAUAUUGCUCGGAAGGCCAACGGCGAAGGCAGGUUACUGGUGCGCAACUGACACUGAGGCACGAAAGCGUGGGGAGCAAACAGG
rnacentral:rRNA from 1 species